rnacentral:rRNA from 1 species
UUGCAAAGCUGAAACUUAAAGGAAUUGACGGAAGGGCACCACCAGGAGUGGAGCCUGCGGCUUAAUUUGACUCAACACGGGAAAACUCACCCGGGCCGGACACUAUGAGGAUUGACAGAUUGAUAGCUCUUUCUUGAUUUGGUGGUUGGUGGUGCAUGGCCGUUCUUAGUUGGUGGAGCGAUUUGUCUGGUUAAUUCCGAUAACGAACGAGACUCCAGCCUGCUAAUUAGUGCGUUUGUCCACUGCACCAGCCGAGCGGCGUAGUGUCAACUGCUUGAGCUCAGUGUGGGAGUUAAUCGUUGCGUUUGUUAGUGGGCCGAUGCGUGCAAUUGCGUGCCGUUGUACUUUCCCCGCCUCCUGCUCUUCCGCCUCCUCCUCCUCCUCCUCCGCCUGCACUGCGCAUGCUUGUCGUGCGCGUGUGUGUGUGUGUGUGUGUGUGUGUAGGUGUAGGUGGCUGUGUGGGUAGUUUGUGGGGGGUGUGCGACAUGCGGUUGUGUGUGUGUAUUGGCUCCGCUGCUGAUGUGACGACCUGCAUGUAGUGCUCAGGGGAUGGCACCGCGUUAGCUAGCAGGUGCGGCGCAAAUGCCUACUUCUUAGAGGGACACGCGGAAGAAGCCGCACGAAAUAGAGCAAUAACAGGUCUGUGAUGCCCUUAGAUGUCCGGGGCCGCACGCGCGCUACAAUGGCGGUGUCAACGAGUUAGACCUUCUGGCCUGAAAAGGUUGGGUAAACUGGUCAAUCACCGUCAUGACAGGGAUCGGGGCUUGGAA